UGUUCGCGGUCGGUCCCUGCUCGGAGGAGCCGCGUUCGAGCUCGUUGUGUGCGCGUUUCGGCGUGUCACACGGUGAAGGCGCGGAUCUCUGGCUGGCCGUCGGACAGUAUGCUUAACGGUGUCCGGUGUCGCCGUCUCGUACGCGCGGCAUCGCUACCGGUCAGCGACGAAUUCUUCGGGCCUCUUUCCGACCCGUCUUGAAACACGGACCAAGGAGUCUAACAUGCGCGCGAGUCGCGGGGUAUCGAGCGUACUUCGGUGCGUUCGUUAUGUUGCGAAACCCGUACAUGUCGAAGGCGUAAUGAAAGUGAAUGGGGAAGAUGGUGUUCCGAGUUCACGUUCCGCGAUCAUCGGUGUCGCGGCCGGACGCCCGCAUUCCCAGGGCGUCUCAACGGCCCGUCGCUGAUGCGGACCGUCGUCCUUCGGGGCGGCUGUCGGUCGGCGACGAACCGAGGCGCACCUAUAGCGUGCACGUUGGUACCCGAAAGAUGGUGAACUAUGCCUGGCCAGGAUGAAGUCAGGGGAAACCCUGAUGGAGGU
rnacentral:rRNA from 1 species